UCGUGGAUCAGUGGCGAACGGGUGAGUAACACGUGAGUAACCUGCCCUCCACUCUGGGAUAAGCGCUGGAAACGGCGUCUAAUACUGGAUACGACCGACCCUCGCAUGGGGUGUUGGUGGAAAGAUUUAUCGGUGGAGGAUGGACUCGCGGCCUAUCAGCUUGUUGGUGGGGUAAUGGCCUACCAAGGCGACGACGGGUAGCCGGCCUGAGAGGGCGACCGGCCACACUGGGACUGAGACACGACCCAAACAUAUACGGGAGGGAGCAGUGGGGAAUAUUGCACAAUGGGCGAAAGCCUG
rnacentral:rRNA from 1 species